AUGUUUUUGACGGUUAGGGAAACCUGUAUAUCUACAGAAAGUGAUGGUAUCAAAUGGGGGCUGGGUACCAAGCCCUACUACACCACUAAAGCUCUAUAUACUUACCUGGAAAAAAACAUUGCUAGUUGCGAUUAUCACUGGAUAUGGAAAGCCCGUAUCCCUUUGAAAAUUCAAAUUUUCAUGUGGCAGCUAUCGCAAGAUGCAGUGCUGACCAAAGAAUUGAUGAAACGUCGUGGAUGGAAAGGGGAACUCAAAUGUUCCUUUUGUGGGGAGUGA
rnacentral:rRNA from 1 species